UGGCGAACGGGUGAGUAACACGUGGGUGAUCUGCCCUGCACUUCGGGAUAAGCCUUGGAAACUGGGUCUAAUACCGGAUAGGAGCCAUUUUUAGUGUGAUGGUUGGAAAGUUUUUUCGGUGUAGGAUGAGCUCGCGGCCUAUCAGCUUGUUGGUGGGGUAAUGGCCUACCAAGGCGGCGACGGGUAGCCGGCCUGAGAUGGUGGACGGCCACAUUGGGACUGAGACACGGCCCAG
rnacentral:rRNA from 1 species